AGUGAACGCUGGCGGUGUGCCUAACACAUGCAAGUCGAACGGAAGCACAGUGAGAUUGUGCUCUUACCGGUGGCGGGUGGCGGACGGGUGACGAGUACAUCGGAAUCUACUUUUUCGGGGGGGAUAACGGAGGGAAAGUUACGCUAAUACCGCAUAUGAUCUACCGGUGAGAGCAGUGGAUCGUCUGACCUUUCGCGGAUGAAUGAGCCGAUGUCGGAUUAGCUAGUUGGGGGGGUAAAGGCCCAGCAAGGCGACGAUACGUAGCUGAUCUGAGAGGAUGAUCGGCCACACUGGAACUGAGACACGGUCCAGACUCCUACGGGAGGCAGCAGUCGGGAAUGUUGGACAGUGGGCGCAAGCCUGACCCAGCCAUCCCGCGUGUGUGACGAAGGCCUUCGGGUCGUAAAGCCCUUUUUUUGGGAAAGAACAGCUGUAGGUUAAUACCACGCUGUUCUGACGGUACCCAAAGAAUAAGCACCGGCUAACUACGUG
rnacentral:rRNA from 1 species